CAGUAGCCGCGGUAAUACGUAGGUGGCAAGCGUUGUCCGGAAUUAUUGGGCGUAAAGGGCUCGCAGGCGGUUUCUUAAGUCUGAUGUGAAAGCCCCCGGCUCAACCGGGGAGGGUCAUUGGAAACUGGGAAACUUGAGUGCAGAAGAGGAGAGUUGAAUUCCACGUGUAGCGGUGAGAUGCGUAGAGAUGUGGAGGAACACCAGUGGCGAAGGCGACUCUCUGGUCUGUAACUGACGCUGAGGAGCGAAAGCGUGGGGAGCGAACAGGAUUAGAUACCCCCGUAGUCCCUGUCUCUUAUAC
rnacentral:rRNA from 1 species